ACCUAGCCCUGAUUGAAAUGGCAUUCCGGUUUCCGAUAAAUUUGUUAUUAUUGAACAUUUACCGGAAUAUAAUGAAAAGCAGGACUACAG
rnacentral:sRNA from 1 species